rnacentral:tRNA from 1 species
GUCCUCGUAGCUUAUAAAAAGCAUGACACUGAAGAUGUCAAGAUGGCUGUCUGUCACACUCCGAGGACA